CCUACGGGAGGCAGCAGUGGGGAAUCUUGCGCAAUGGGCGAAAGCCUGACGCAGCCAUGCCGCGUGAAUGAUGAAGGUCUUAGGAUUGUAAAAUUCUUUCACCGGGGACGAUAAUGACGGUACCCGGAGAAGAAGCCCCGGCUAACUUCGUGCCAGCAGCCGCGGUAAUACGAAGGGGGCUAGCGUUGCUCGGAAUUACUGGGCGUAAAGGGAGCGUAGGCGGAUAGUUUAGUCAGAGGUGAAAGCCCAGGGCUCAACCUUGGAAUUGCCUUUGAUACUGGCUAUCUUGAGUACGGAAGAGGUAUGUGGAACUCCGAGUGUAGAGGUGAAAUUCGUAGAUAUUCGGAAGAACACCAGUGGCGAAGGCGACAUACUGGUCCGUUACUGACGCUGAGGCUCGAAAGCGUGGGGAGCAAACAGGAUUAGAUACCCUGGUAGUCCACGCUGUAAACGAUGAGUGCUAGUUGUCGGCAUGCAUGCAUGUCGGUGACGCAGCUACGACAUUAAGUACACUCCGCCGUCGGGGAGGUACGGUCGGCGAAGAAUUAAAACUAACAAAUAGAAGUUAGACGGCGUGAGACGUGCCGACGGACGACGACGAGGGAGGUUAGG
rnacentral:rRNA from 1 species